rnacentral:rRNA from 1 species
GCGUGGGUGAAGAAGGCCCUAGGGUUGUAAAGCCCUUUCGGCGGGGACGAUGAUGACGGUACCCGCAGAAGAAGCCCCGGCUAACUUCGUGCCAGCAGCCGCGGUAAUACGAAGGGGGCUAGCGUUGCUCGGAAUUACUGGGCGUAAAGGGCGCGUAGGCUGUCAUGUUAGUUGGGUGUGAAACCCCCGGGCUCAACCUGGGAACUGCACUCAAUACGGCAUGACUUGAGGACGAGAGAGGGUGGUGGAACUCCCAGUGUAGAGGUGAAAUUCGU